GGUGUAGCGCGGCGCGCAGCUUUGGCUGGUCGCCGGCUUCUUAGAGGGACAUCAGCAUCUACCUGAGGGAAGUUGGAGGCAUUACCAGGUCGGUGAGGCCCUUAAAGGUUCGGGGCCGCACGCCCGCUCCACGGACAAACCCACCAAGUUAAUACCCUUGCCCGGAAGGUUGGGGUAAUCUGGUAAAAUUCGGCCGGGCUGG
rnacentral:rRNA from 1 species